rnacentral:rRNA from 1 species
AACGAACGCUGGCGGCAUGCCUAACACAUGCAAGUCGAACGAGACCUUCGGGUCUAGUGGCGCACGGGUGCGUAACGCGUGGGAACCUGCCCUUAGGUUCGGAAUAACUCCCCGAAAGGGGUGCUAAUACCGGAUAAUGUCUUCGGACCAAAGAUUUAUCGCCUUUGGAUGGGCCCGCGUUGGAUUAGCUAGUUGGUAGGGUAAAAGCCUACCAAGGCGACGAUCCAUAGCUGGUCUGAGAGGAUGAUCAGCCACACUGGGACUGAGACACGGCCCAGAGUCCGACAGGAGGCAGCAUUCGGGAAUAUUGGACAGGGGGCGAGAGUCAGAUCGUGCUAUCCCGAGAGAAUGAUGAAAGACUAAGGGGUGAAUAGCACUUGUACCCGCGAUGAUAGUCACCGAACCGAGAGAAUAAGCUGGGGAUAACACCG